UGACCUAUGGGGGGCAGCAGUGAGGAAUAUUGGUCAAUGGGCUUACGCCUGAACCAGCCAAGUCGCGUGAGGGAAGACUGCCCUAUGGGUUGUAAACCUCUUUUGUCAGGGAGCAACGCCGGCUACGUGUAGCCGGACUGAGAGUACCUGAAGAAAAAGCAUCGGCUAACUCCGUGCCAGCAGCCGCGGUAAUACGGAGGAUGCGAGCGUUAUCCGGAUUUAUUGGGUUUAAAGGGUGCGUAGGUGGUUAAUUAAGUCAGCGGUGAAAGUUUGUGGCUCAACCAUAAAAUUGCCGUUGAAACUGG
rnacentral:rRNA from 1 species